rnacentral:lncRNA from 1 species
GAGAGUUCCUUUUGCUCUGCAUCUUUGUUGGUAUUCAGUGUUGUCAAUGUUCUGGAUUUGGGCCGUUCUAAUAGGUGUAUAGGGUAUCUCGUUGUUUUAAUUUGCAUUUUCUUGAUGAUAUAUGAUGUGGAACAUCUUUUCAGAUACUUAUUUGCUGUCUGUGUAUCUUCUUUGGUGAGGUGUCUGUUAAAGACUUUGGCCCAUUUUUUAAUCAGGUUGUUGUUUUAUUGUAGAGUUUUAAAAGUUCUUUGCAUAUUUUGGAUAACAGUCCUGCAUCAGAUAUGUCUUUUGCAAAUAUUUUCUCUUAGUCUGUGGCUCGUCUUCUCAUUCAUUUGACAUCAUCUUUUACAGAGCAGAAAUUUUUAAUUUUAAUGAAGCCUAGCUUAUCAAUGAUUUCUUUAAUGGAUUGUGCCUUUGGUGUUGUAUCUAAAUGCCAUCACCAUACCCAAGGUCAUCUAGGUUUCCUCCUAUGGUAUCUUCUAAAAGUUUUAUAGUUUUCUGUUUUACAUUUGAUCCAAGAUCCAUUUUAAGUUAAUUUGUAUGAAAGGUGUAAAGUCUGUGUCUAGAUUUGUUUUUUUGCAGGUGGAUGUGCAGUUGUUGCCAUUAAUGUUUUCACCUUAAAUUUUAUUUUAUUGACUAUAGAUGCUGUCAGUUAUACAUCCUUUCAUUAUUAUUAAUUGCUAGAUAUAUUUUCCUAAUUUCUGUAAUUGUUUUUAAAUGAAAGGAAGAAGGAGAAGCUUUUACAGAAUACUGGAGUAAAACUCUCUAAAACCAUUCCUUCAGAAAAGAAGCAGGGUUGGGUAAGGGUUAGGGUUAGGGUUGGGUUAGGGUUAGGGUUAGUGUUCUGGUUCGGGUUAGGGUUCGGGUUUGGGUUUGUGUUCAGGGUCCAGUUUAGGGUUAGGGUUAGGGCUAGGGUUCUGGUUCUGGUUCAUGUUCGGGUUCGGGUUUGGGUUCCAGUUAGGGUUUAGGGUUAGGGUUCGGGCUAGGAUUCGGGUUCGGGUUUGGGUUCUGGUUAGGGUUUGGGUUCGAGUUCGGGUUAGGUUUCGUGUUCGGGUUUGGCUUCUGGUUCCAGUUAGGGUUUAGGGUUAGGGUUCGGUCUAGGGUUCGGGUUUGGGUUCUGGUUAGGGUUCAGGUUCGGGUUACCGUUCGGGUUCGGGUUUGGGUUGUGUUUUGGUUUCGGGUUACGGUUAGUGUUUGGUUAGGGUUAGGGUUCGGCUUAGGCUUAGGGUUAGGGUAGGUUUAGGGUUUGGGUUCUGGUUUGGGUUCCAGUUAGGGUUUAGUGUUAGGGUUCGGGCUCGGGUUGGGGUGCGGGUUGGGGUUGGGGUUCACGUUCAGGUUCUGGUUAGUGUUCGAGUCAGGGUUCGGGUUCGGGUUAGGGUUUAGGGUUCAGGUUCGGGUUUGGGUUCGGCUUAGGGUUAGGGUUAGGGCUGGGUUCGGGUUGGGGUUGUGUUCCGGUUUGCGUUAGUGUUUGGGUUCCUAUUUGGGUUCAGUUUCCGGUUCGGGUUAGGGUUAGGGUUCGGGUUCAUGUUAGGGUUUAGGGUUCAGGUUCUGGUUUGUGUUCCGCUUAGGGUUAGGGUUGGGGUUGGGUUAGGGUUAGGGUUAGAGUUUGGUUCGGGCUUAGUGUUCAGGUUCGGCUUCGGGUGUAGGGGUAGGUUUUGGGUUCAGUUUCAGGUUCGGGUUUGGGGUUAGGGUUCUGGUUCUUGUUUGGGUUCGGGUUCGGGUUUGUGUGCGGGGUCUAGUUUAGGGUUAGGGCUAGUGUUCUGGUGCAGGUUAGGGUUUGGGUUCGGGGUUAGGGUUAGGUUUCGG